UACGAAGGGGGCGAGCGUUGUUCGGAUUUACUGGGCGUAAAGGGCGCGUAGGCGGCUUGGCAAGUGGAUGGUGAAAUCCCUCGGCUUAACCGAGGAACUGCCGUCCAAACUGCUUUGCUUGAGACCGGGAGAGGUGAGUGGAAUUCCCAGUGUAGCGGUGAAAUGCGUAGAUAUUGGGAAGAACACCGGUGGCGAAGGCGGCGCUCUGGACCGAGACUGACGCUGAGGCGCGAAGGCGUGGGGAGCAAACAGG
rnacentral:rRNA from 1 species